GUCUUUGUGUGAAGUGCUCCUUGAAUACUUUACGUUUGUCCUCGUUAGCAAGAAGUCACACCAAGUCCAAUAUGUUGAUCUCAUCAUAGGUUGAUUGCCUUCAUUGAUUCACAUUGGUGCCUUGUUUCUUAGUUCUGGAGGAUGAAGCCAUGAAAUUGAGUUUUUGAAAUAACUAGGUUUUGGAGGUUUGGAGAUUCGGUGGUUUUGAUUUUGACCACUAAACACGAAAAUUAU
rnacentral:lncRNA from 1 species